rnacentral:misc_RNA from 1 species
UCCACCCACCCUGAAAAGGUAU